rnacentral:rRNA from 1 species
UACGUAGGGUGCAAGCGUUGUCCGGAAUUAUUGGGCGUAAAGAGCUCGUAGGCGGUUUGUCGCGUCGGCUGUGAAAGCCCGGAGCUCAACUCCGGGUCUGCAGUCGAUACGGGGCAGACUUGAGUGUUGCAGGGGAGACUGGAAUUCCUGGUGUAGCGGUGAAAUGCGCAGAUAUCAGGAGGAACACCGGUGGCGAAGGCGGGUCUCUGGGCAACAACUGACGCUGAGGAGCGAAAGCGUGGGGAGCGAACAGG